GGAAUCUUCGGCAAUGGACGAAAGUCUGACCGAGCAACGCCGCGUGAGUGAAGAAGGUUUUCGGAUCGUAAAACUCUGUUGGUAGAGAAGAACAAGGGUGAGAGUAACUGUUCACCCCUUGACGGUAUCUAACCAGAAAGCCACGGCUAACUACGUGCCAG
rnacentral:rRNA from 1 species